ACAAAUACAAGGCCGCACAGCUACUGUUUGGAACUCUUUUCCCAGAGUGGGGCUCAGCCACUGCACUCCGGUUGUCCUGACCCCUGCAAUUUCCCCAAAUGCAGAAAACCUGUCAGCAAAAUUUCUAAUUC
rnacentral:snRNA from 1 species